rnacentral:rRNA from 1 species
CUAGCGGGCCAAAUCGGAGGGGAAACACCCGUUCCCGUUCCGAAAGUUUUUACCGGAAACACGGAAGUUAAGCCCUCCAGAGAUCUGGGUUGUACUCUCCGAAAGGAGGGGAAAUCCAGGACGCCCGCUAGC